rnacentral:rRNA from 1 species
UACGUAGGGGGCAAGCGUUGUCCGGAAUCAUUGGGCGUAAAGCGCGUGUAGGCGGCCCGGUAAGUCCGCUGUGAAAGUCGGGGGCUCAACCCUCGAAUGCCGGUGGAUACUGUCGGGCUAGAGUGCGGAAGAGGCGAGUGGAAUUCCUGGUGUAGCGGUGAAAUGCGCAGAUAUCAGGAGGAACACCGGUGGCGAAGGCGGUUCUCUGGGCCUUACCUGACGCUGGAGGAGCGAAAGCGUGGGGAGCGAACAGG